GCAAAGCCUGAUUGUUGCAUCUUCAUCAUUUAUUAAACUGUAGAAGCAUGAAACUAUAAAGACCUAUAUUAAAUAGUUGUCGAAUAAAAGUUCAAUAUUUUAAAUACCGAAAUGUAAACAAAGACUACAAAGGCUUUGUUUACAUACGGACUGUACCCUAUCGAAAAGUGAAAACCCUUUAAAUUAAAAACUUACCAUUGACAGGCAGUUCUUUUAUUCAAGCGUUGUCUCUUUAUCCAUGGUCGAAUUUCCAGUACAGCGAUGUAGCGAAAUUUCCGGUCGUCUUUCACAACAAAUAACAUCACAAUAUAAAGUCAAUAUAAACUGCACGUAUUUUUCUCUUUACCACCGAAUCGUUUUCCCUAUCCAUUGAAUUAUAAUUUCCAAAACUACCAGUCGUUAUAACGUAAAACAAGCGGGUAUUUUGUGAACAGAAAUGCCCUUUGAAUCACACGAAGUAACUAGCGCCAUCUUGUCUUCUUCAAACAUUACAAAUUUUCCCGCCAAAACCUCUGUGGGUGAAGGCGAAGUCCCGUAUGAAACUGACGUCACAGGUGUCAUUGAGCAUG